GAAAUGCGAUAAGUAAUGUGAAUUGCAGAAUUCAGUGAAUCAUCGAAUCUUUGAACGCACCUUGCGCUCCUUGGUAUUCCGAGGAGCAUGCCUGUUUGAGUGUCAUGGAAUUCUCAACUCUAUUUGCUUUUGUGAAUAGAGCUUGGAUUUGGAGGUUUAUUGCUGGUACUUGUGAUCGGCUCCUCUUGAAUGCAUUAGCUCGAACCUUUGCGGAUCAGCUAUCGGUGUGAUAAUUGUCUACGCCGUUGCAGUGAAGCAUAUCAAUGGGCUCGGCUUCCAAUCGUCCUUUACUGGACAAUGACUUUGACCUUUGACCUCAAAUCAGGUAGGAUUGCCCGCUGAACUUAAGC
rnacentral:misc_RNA from 1 species